GCCUCGGUGGUCUAAUAGCUCAGGACGUUCGUACGGAAUACAAGAGAUCCGGGUUCGACUCCCGGCCGAGGUA
rfam:Trachymyrmex zeteki contig4854, whole genome shotgun sequence.